rnacentral:lncRNA from 10 species
UUGUCAUCCUGGUGGUUUCACUGUGGAUUCCCUUUAUUCUCCACCUAGGAAUAUGAUGAAAGUCACCCUAAAGUUCAUCCACAUUGGAAUUUAAAGAUGAAAGAAGCCCAAGAAUGUGAAUUUGAAGAAGGAUUCCAAGUGAUCUGAUGCCAUGAUUCAGGGGCCACACAGGAAAGAACACUGCCAUACAUGGAACUGUUCAGGGGCCAACGUGGAGAACGCAGCUGUACACGGUGGUGUUCAGGGGCCACACUGGAGGACACGGCCGUACAUGGAAAUAUUCAGGGGCCAACGUGGAGAAUGCAGCUGUACAUGGUGGUGUUCAGGGGCCAAAUGUGGAGAACGUGGCUGUACAUGGUGGUGUUUGGGGCCACACUGGAGGAUGAUGUCAUACAUGAUGGUGUUCAGGUCUACACUGGAGGAUGAUGUUGUACAUGGUGGUGUUCAUGGGCCACACUGGAGGAUGCUGCUGUACAUGAUGGUGUUCAGGUCUACACUGGAGGAUGAUGUCAUACAUGGUGGUGUUCAGGGCCACACUGGAGGAUGAUGUCGUACAUGGUGGUGGUCAGGUCUACACUGGAGGAUGCUGUCAUACAUGGUGGUGUUCAGGGCCACACUGGAGGAUGCUCUCGUACAUGUUUGUGUUCAUGGGCCACACGUGGAGGACGCUGCUCCCCAGGGCUCCUUCCUGACCCUAACCUUCUACCACACAUUCCCCUGGUUUCAAAGAAAUAUAAGGUAAGGAUUUCCAAAGGACUCUCCCUUGGCCCCUGAGCUGUAAAUAGAACUGCUUUCUCAACAUCUUCACUUGGACUUGAGUAGACACAUCCAAACUUCUCAUCUUCAUCUCCCAGCCUUCUCUUCUUCCAGAUUCUCUGUCUUAGGGCCACCUCCUGGGCACAUAUCAAGUGAAAUGGAUCCUGGAGUGGAACAGAAAAUAACUGGCAAAAUAUACCUACCAUUCAUCUAGUUGCUCAUGCCAGAAACCUGGAAAACAGCUUUCACAGAUUCUCUCCCUACCAUCCAACAGGCAGCGACUCACCAGAUUCUCUUGGCUCUGUCUCCUAAAUGCUACACUUAUCUACCCACUUCCUGCCAUCCUCAUUGCCAGCACCCUCAUUCAAACCAUCCUCAUUUCCCUCCUGGUCUACGUAAAGGAAAAUAAAAUCUCAGGACCCUCAAACUCCUUAUGCCAAAGGGAAAGUUAAGCCUGGAAACUGAGUCGGCCACACAGCCGUCCUCUCCCCAGAUGAAUAGCUGUUACUUCAAAACCUGUGUCAAAACAUUAUGCAUUAGCCAGACCUCCACAGAAAGGCAAAAGGCCUCAGGCGUCUUGGGAUGACUGCCCCCACAAAAUCCCUUUAAGUAAAUUCUUUGCCAGCCUGUAAACUUUAAAACUGUCUAUCCUCCCAUAAAACAUGAACCUGUCAACUGUAGCUCUACGUCUGCCAUCUAAAUGUAGCUCAUACAGCUAAAGCCUGUUCACCUCUGCAGUGGUAAUGUGGAUUGCUAGUUUACCUCCACACAGGCAGAACAAAGGCACGAGGAGAUCAGUACUUCCUCCACCCACACAGGUGCAUCUGCACAAUUGAUUCUUCCUUUACUCUGUUUUCUUCAAACGUUCAGCGUAUGUAAAAUGCAGAUUUACUGGGCACUGAGUAAAGUUUCACAAGAACCAUUUGCCUCACUGCCUUCUCCCCGAUUUUUUAAGGGAAAUGUACAAAUAUUAAACAUCCUGAAAACAUCUGAAAAAAUAGCCAUAGAUGCAUCUGUGACUCACGUUUUUUCCUGGGCAUGCUCUCAAGCUGGCGCAACAAAUCUUCACUGAGACACCUGCCUCAGCCACUCAUUUUGGUUAACAACUACUACCUCCUCCUGCCUGGUACCCCUUCUUUAGGGGCCUGGUCGCCUCUGAAGGGAAUCCACAUUCUGCAUCUUGUUCUCCAAGGCUGUCCCCUCUCUCUCUCUCUUUUGCACCAUGCUGUCCCCUCUCUUCUCUCCUUUGCAUCAUGCUGUCCCCUCUCUCUCUCCUUUGCACCAUGCUGUCCCCUCUCUCUCUCUCUCCUUUACACCAUGCUCUCCCUCCCUCUCUCCUUUGCACCAUGCUAUCCCCCAUCUCUCUCUCCUUUGCACCAUGCUGUCCCCUCUCUCUCUCUCCUUUACACCAUGCUCUCCCUCUCUCUCUCCUUUGCACCAUGCUGUCCCCUCUCUCUUCUCUCCUUUGCACCAUGCUGUCCCCCC